UACGGAGGGGGCUAGCGUUGUUCGGAAUUACUGGGCGUAAGGCGCACGUAGGCGGCUUUGUAAGUUAGAGGUGAAAGCCCAGGGCUUAACCCUGGAAUUGCCUUUAAGACUGCAUCGCUCGAAUUGUGGAGAGGUGAGUGGAAUUCCGAGUGUAGAGGUGAAAUUCGUAGAUAUUCGGAAGAGCACCAGUGGCGAAGGCGACUCACUGGACACAUAUUGACGCUGAGGUGCGAAAGCGUGGGGAGCAAACAGG
rnacentral:rRNA from 1 species